rfam:Glycine max cultivar Williams 82 chromosome 17, whole genome shotgun sequence.
UUCUUAUUGGAUGAUUACUGUCACAUGUAAUAUUCUGGUUGGAUGUCGAAUCCUGGAAAGAUGAAAUGCAUCGGUGUUGUCAUUGGUCAAUCAAAACAUAACACGUGUCAAUCAAUAUUU